UGAACGCGAAGAACCUUACCAAGUCUUGACAUCCUUCUGACCGGUACUUAACCGUACCUUCUCUUUGGAGCAGGAGUGACAGGUGGUGCAUGGUUGUCGUCAGCUCGUGUCGUGAGAUGUUGGGUUAAGUCCCGCAACGAGCGCAACCCUUAUCUUUAGUAGCCAGCGGUCUGGCCGGGCACUCUAGAGAGACUGCCAGGGAUAACCUGGGGGAAGGCGGGGAUGACGUCAAAUCAUCAUGCCCCUUAUGACUUGGCUACACACGUGCUACAAUGGCGUAAACAAAGGGAAGCAAAGCUGUGAAGCCGAGCAAAUCUCAAAAAUAACGUCUCAGUUCGGACUGUAGUCUGCAACCCGACUACACGAAGCUGGAAUCGCUAGUAAUCGCAGAUCAGAAUGCUGCGGUGAAUACGUUCCCGGGUCUUGUACACACCG
rnacentral:rRNA from 1 species